CCUGGUGGUUUUAACGCGGUGGAACUACCUGAUCCCAUCCCGAACUCAGUCGUAAAACGCCGUCGUGCCGAAAAUACUAGCACUGCAAAGUGCUGGGAAGAUAGGUAACUGCCAGGG
rnacentral:rRNA from 1 species